UUUUCUUCAUCUUCCAUUUCCAUCAUCACCAUGGAAGCUACUGCAACUCUACUCAGCUUCUCUCUUCCAUCCACCAAAACCCAAUCUUUUCAAAUCCUAACCCGACCCAUUAACCCAUUCAACCCACCCACAUCAUACAAACAUAGACCCAUUUCCAAAACCCACCGUUUAUCCAUCAACGCCGCAAUUUCACGCACAAAGAAAGAAGAAACAGUUGAAACCGUAAAAGAACAACUUGAAAACUGUUACCUCCUCGCCGGAAUCAACUACAAAGGCUUCACCGUAAA
rnacentral:lncRNA from 1 species